rnacentral:lncRNA from 1 species
GUUGACAGAUGGAUGCCUUCUUAAUCACAGCCUGUGACACCCACAUGACUAGGAGGAGGCAGAAAGUGAAUAGGGAGCUCUUAUUACUUUUUGAGUGUCAGCAAGUUAAGACAUCAUCUCCAGAAAACUGUGCUAGUUGGCAUCCAGCAGUGCCCAAGUAUUAUUUAACCCACUAGAACCUGUGACUGCAUCAGCUUUAUAUCCUGGACCUCAGCCUGGAACAAAGGAGAGCUACACUUGGAUACUAAACACAAGUGGUCUGGAUAGAUUAUGCUGGGAAAAGAAGCCUGGAGCAGGCAGUACAGUGGGAGAACAAGACAGAAGUGCUUGCCUUGGUGAUCCAAAAAAGGCAGGAUCCGGCCGGGGGCAAGGUGAUUAUUCUGUCUGAUGAGGAGAAUAAGAGCCAGUUUGUGGUAUUGACAGAAGAAUGAAAGUAAAGUCUUGAAAGAUGGGAAGAUCAGGAGCAGUCUGGAGUCAUGGUAUAUGAAUGAACUAGUGAGAGUGGGCACAAAGUCUGAAGAUCUUUGUAGUGCAGCUAAUGUCUAAGGGAGAAUAUACCUACCCUAGAAGAGACAUUAAACAACCAGGUUGUCUCUUCAUUCUGUUGAUUGUUUCCUUUGUUGUAAAAGAAACUCACUUUACAGGAAAAGAGGUGCAACAGUGGCUGGAUGAUUAUAAGAUCGACUGUUCCUAUUAAAAACUACACCAUCCAAAAGAGGCUGCCAUUGAAGAGCAAUAAAGUAGUUCAUAGAAGGCAUAGUUCAACCAAUCUACAAAGGCCAAAAAUAUUUUCACAGGCCCCCAAAAGAUGAACUCCAAUCUGCUGCCCCUAAACGCAUUCUCCACUGUCUGGAAGAUGUGCAAAGGCAACGGCACAGCGUUCUCCAUCUCAAAUCCUUCAAAGUGCUGUCAGAAUAAAAGAAUCCCCACCAAAAGCCCCAGGGAAAUCUAUCUGUCUGUAUGGUAUGGUAAUGACUGAGGUUAUUCCAGAUAGGAUUCUGGGAGAAACUCAGCUAUUGAAAUCUAAUGAAUGGAACUGAGAAUUUCUUGUUAUAAUACUGUUUGUUUGAUUGAAUAUAUCCUUGCAUAUAGGAAGACAUAAAAAUAAAUAAUAAAAGCAAGAUAUUAUUUGAA